UUUGUCCACGAAGGCCUGUUCGAGAUCUUCUCCCACCACCUCUGGAUGUUCUUCCUCGAAUUAAACAGGUGGUUCCACUGCCUAGAGUUGACAAGGUAAUGAGUGUUUGGGAGGUGAGACAGGUCUGCCAGAGUGAAUUCAUCGCCCGCAAGGGGGGCGAACGCUAAGUGGAAGACUAAUGCCCAGCUCGGAGGGUUGAAGCUCUGCUCCUCUGUCUUCAGCCAUUGCUCGAUGGAUCCCCUGUCGAGUAGAUCCCUCCCGAGAAGGCUUAAGACUAUCUUGUGAGGAAUGGACAAACUUGUGCUGGGAGGAUGAAGAAAUUACGUACCUAGUAAGAAUGUGUCUGUGUCUUUGAAGGCUGGGACAGGAGCUCUCAUGGUGGCCUGCUCAAGGGAAUCAACAUUUGGAGAGAUGCACCCGUCUGAUAUCGAAUGGAAAAUAAGACAUGGGAGGUGCAAAGUACCUGGAG